UAGUAGUCGAAACAUUUGUAAAAUGUACACAUUUUUCAUAAACAUUACCAAAACAUUGUUAAACUGAUGUCAGAUGCAAUGUACAUCCCUUCCAAUGAUUCGUACAUUUUACUUCAUAGCAUGUGUAACCUUAAGUAUUUUCAUUUCUGUGUGCAACUGUGUGUGUGCAACCGCCUUUUCUCUAAUUCCCUAAAAUCGAAGAAAUCCAUAGCAAAGGUUUAACGCAGCCGGAAGCGUUUAGAUAAACUAAACAACAGAGGCCAAAAACGGCGGAUGUCACCGUGCACAGUUGAUUGAUGAUCCGAUUGUUGUUUGAUUUUUCUCCUUAUUCUAUUAUCCGCAGAUCGCAACCAACAGCAGCAAUGGACCGCCUUUCGAUCGAUUCGUUGUUCCAGGAAACGGUGGAUAUCAGUUGGGCCAAUCGUACCGUCAGCAGCGAGGAAACCAACACCAACCGUUUUACACUGAGCAAUCAACAGCUACCGAUUCGGACAACAUCGACUCGGAUGAGAAGCAGCAGCAACAGCGCAGAUUGUCGGUGUUAUUCCAGUCAUAUGCUGUCUGCAGCAAAAACUCCACUUGCUGAUGAACAAUAUGGUACGGCGAAAGUUUCACAAUAUCAAACACAUCGUCCCGACAGCAUUAAUUCUACAGCAGUACUUGGCGACGGCACCUAGCGAAAACCAUCACCAUCCCUACCACCGACUGCAGCCCACUAAUCCAAGGAUCGGAGGGAAAGCGAUUUCCUCCACAAAUCACGACUUCACGGAGCUCAACAACAGAAAAUCCGCGUCAGAGGAUGAUGGAGAGAGUCAGUUUGCGUGGUGAAUUUGCUUCCAGGCGCUUCGUUGCUGGAUCGGUACAUGCUGCCUCCGCGCGAAUUUGGAACGUCACAUCAAGCAGUAACAUCUUUAACUCUGGUCAUAUUGUUAGCGCGGAGGAAAUCGGCAAUCAAAAAUCCUCCAAAGGAAAGAAGUAGACAAAGGUAAAGAUCCAUUGGCGAAGGCGGUCAAUAGUGGCAAUAAUGAAGACGAUUUGGUGUCGGUAUCGAAACCGGUCGACAGCGCUACGAACCUUGGCUAUUCUGGAUAAAUUUCGUAAUUUGAUGUUUCGCUGUCACAAGAUAAAACGUCGAGCAGGUGCUGCUGACUUCCGGCUCGGCGUUCGAGAGUAACAACUCCGACACAGAGAUCCAAAUCCAUCGUCGACACGGCAGAAAAAAAAUCGUCUAAAGCCUAGCGCAAAACCGAGUCAAUUGCCCCUACUGGCAUAUUCUCCUCGGACAACAACAUCAACAUAGGAUCGGAAAACAAAGUCCUCUGCGAAGAUUGCGAUCUCGUCGAAGGUAUUGCCCGUGACAGAUUCCACCGCGAAGAAGUAUUUUUUCCGAUAUCGAACUCUAAGAGCCCCCGCAGACUGCAGACUGAUUUGUGGGCCGAUAGUUUGGUUGGCUUCUCAAUCAGUACGGAGAGGUAUGCAUGUGCGCACAAUACGCCGAUUCAGUUGGGUCGAUUUUUGCACCAGAAGGCCGACCCGACCAAACUGUUGGUUGACAGAAAGUCUGUAGUAUGCGGGGGCUCUAAGGGAGAGUUAUUGGAAAAACAUAAUCACAACCAAUGUGCAGCGGUUCUAAGCUAACAUGUGACUGAGUGGAGAAUUUCAUAUCAAAUUUAAAGAACAAGUACUAGCAAUUUUUAUCCACAAUGAUCAAUCCGCAUAUGACUAAACUGAGAGAUUUUUUCACUAUGCAGCUUCCAUUGGGAUUUCUAGUAAAAAUAAGUAUAUGCUCAAUUAUUUUUAAAAUAUUUAAGGGGCUUAAAAUGCAAGGGGUGUAAGUGACUUGGUCGAUUUCUCUUUAUCGACUUUCUCUUUUGAUCAUAGCUUAACUGCAAACAUAUUCCCAGCUUCUUCUGUAGGAGCAUUGAACCACUGCGACCAUUAGUUUGAUCUAUUGUGGUGCACUCCAGUUUACCAGCAGUUUACCAUAUUCCCAGCUUAUUUGACAAUGUGGACGAUAGGUCAGAACCUCAAUUAUCGGUUUCUAUAGCAAAAUCAAAUUGGAACGUUUUUGUGCGCUGAGUUGUUCACGAAAGAAAAAGUCGAUGAAGAGAAAUCGAUCAAAUCACUUACACCCCUUGCAUUCUAAGCCCCUCAUUUGGUACUGUGUUCCGCAACUCGUUCUAUUUUGUAAAAAUAACGCUGUUUCAUGUGUUGAACGCGGUUAUCAUAUUUGGCAACGUAUUCGAAUAAGAGACACUCGUGAUCAGUGUGAGCCACAUAUAAGAAAGCGAAGAGCUUACAACAUGCACUAUCAAGGGUUACAGUUUCGAUGUCCCGUUCGAGUACGUACGACGUGGUGUCAAUUUCCGGCGUCAAAUCAUCUUCGAAGAUGAGAUCGAAUUGAUGCAGUUUGCGAUCCAGCAAAAUUUCGCAAGUGUCCGAAAAAGCAUACUUUUGAGUGUUGCUAAAACCCUGCACGAAAAGCUUUUCAAUAUUUUAUAAAAAUAGGAAUAGAAUAAGAAUAUUAAUAAGAAUAAAAAUAUUUGAAAUAAAAAUUAUAUUGAACCAA